rnacentral:rRNA from 1 species
AGUUUGAUCAUGGCUCAGGACGAACGCUGGCGGCGUGCUUAACACAUGCAAGUCGAGCGGUGAAGCACCUUCGGGUGUGAAUUAGCGGCGAACGGGUGAGGAACACGUGAGAAAUCUGCCUUCAACUCUGGGAUAACUCCGGGAAACCGGGGCUAAUACCGGAUAUGAGCCUUGAUCGCAUGAUCGGGGCUGGAAAGUUUUUCGGUUGAAGAUGAUCUCGCGGCCUAUCAGCUUGUUGGUGAGGUAAUGGCUCACCAAGGCGACGACGGGUAGCCGGCCUGAGAGGGCGACCGGCCACACUGGGACUGAGACACGGCCCAGACUCCUACGGGAGGCAGCAGUGGGGAAUAUUGGGCAAUGGAGGAAACUCUGACCCAGCGACGCCGCGUGAGGGAUGAAGGCCUUCGGGUUGUAAACCUCUUUCAGUAGGGAAGAAGCGAAAGUGACGGUACCUACAGAAGAAGCACCGGCUAACUAUGUGCCAGCAGCCGCGGUAAUACAUAGGGUGCAAGCGUUGUCCGGAAUUAUUGGGCGUAAAGAGCUCGUAGGUGGUUAGAUACGUCGGAUGUGAAAAUCAGGGGCUCAACCCCUGACCUGCAUUCGAUACGGUCUAGCUAGAGUGUGGUAGGGGAGACUGGAAUUCCUGGUGUAGCGGUGGAAUGCGCAGAUAUCAGGAGGAACACCGAUGGCGAAGGCAGGUCUCUGGGCCAUUACUGACACUGAGGAGCGAAAGCGUGGGGAGCGAACAGGAUUAGAUACCCUGGUAGUCCACGCCGUAAACGGUGGGCGCUAGUUGUGCGAACCUUCCACGGUUUGUGCGACGCAGCUAACGCAUUAAGCGCCCCGCCUGGGGAGUACGAUCGCAAGA